AGCGGGGCCGGGAGGUGGAGAUGGAGGCACGGGGGUAGCGCUGGUGACGGGACGCGGCGGGGAGACACGGGGGACGCGGGGACACCGCGGUCGGGCCCGGAUCCGGAGGGGCCGCUCGGCCCGGGAGGGGCUCGCUGAGGGCGGACCCGCCGCUCUGUGCCCCGGGCCCCGCGGGGCAGCUCCCGGCGCGGGGCAGCGCAGCGCCCUGCCGGGACCCCGCGCUGUCCGCCCCACCGCCCUCCGCGGCUGCCGGGGGCACCUGCCCGCACCCCGGUGCCUCCAGUUCCGAAUCCUUUCCGGAGGCUCGCUCCGUUCAGGGCUGUGCUUUCCGCAGCCCUUCCAGCACAGCCUCAUUCCCCGGUGUGCGUCCCCCCUGUCGCGGGGCUUCUUCCAGGUGUCCGGGCGUUCGGUGUCUUUAUCUCGGCCGUGUACAGCCGGACACUAAAGGAAUGUGUCCUGGCGAUAAGGCGUGACUACAGCCAGAGGUUUAUCCGAACUGUGUUCCCUCUUGUAAACACGGCAGAAAGCAACGUUAGUGCCACCACUCUAUUUCAGUUUGCCACUUCUCCCCAGUCUGUGGCUAAAGAGGGGAAUUACAGGAUGGGAAAAGUGGCUUAGGCUGCAGUUCUGCUUUGCAGAUGAGAAGGAGCUUCCCUGGAGUACCUGCAAACAUACUGGGAAUGCUGGUGAGUGGCUCAGAAAGCCCGGCAGACUCUUUACAGUUUGUCCCUAGACAUCUUGUUGAAAAGCUUCAGAACAACAGGAGUGGUAUCACAGGCAGAGGAUGGGGAUCAGUCUCUGAGUCUUGCCUACCCUCUUCUACCGCUUUUCUCCUUUCCUACAGCCCAAAGUGAGAAUUCUAAUUUUUGGCAACAGUAUCUCGUUGAUUUUUAUAGUCUGACAUUUUCCUUACCCCUUAAUUCUUUGCCUGAGUUCUGCUGCUGCACCACACAAGCUCCCUUUAUUGCUGAGCAUUCUCCACUUGUCUCUAUCAGAUGUCAAGCUAUUGAUUCGGAGGUGAUGUCAAGGUCAUUUGGGAUUCUGACACUUUCCUUGAGAGUUCUCCUUGGGAAUGCUUGGAGAUUUUGGUGACUUUUGGCCAGACACAAAUGUCCUAGUUAUGUUCUAUUUCCUCUUGACAGCUGUACCAGGGAACAAUGUUUUAAUGGGAAUAAUUUAAAUUUUUAAUAUGUCGGUCCCUGAAUAAAGAAUGUUCAAGACUGAGAAAUUCUAAACACUAUCAUACUUAAUGCAAUCCUUAUCCUACCCUAUCUCUUCUUUCUCUUGGAUUUUGAAGAAGAUCAAAGGAAUGAUUUAUUCACAGUCUUUGUAAGUGAGCGCUAGCAGUUAUGUUCAAUGUGCUAAUCAUGUGCAGCGGCAAAGCAGAAAUGGAAACUGGACUAUCUGCAAAUGUUGCCUCUUUUUUCCCCCAUGCUUUCUGAUUACUCUGUGGAUGCAGCAUCCCACAAAAUAUGUGAAGUUUACAUAGAGAGCAACAGACAGAACAAGUUUCAACAAGAAUUCCUUUCUUCCUGGCUGAAGUGUACAAACCCAGCAACUGUGCUCCCAACACAAGCUGCAGUUUCCAUGCCUCCUGUACAUGUGCUUGUGUUUUUGUGGGGCUUUUCAAAACAAACUGGGCUGAAUCACACUGCAGGAGCUUCCCAGGCUGUGUCCUUGGCCAAGCCUGGAACAGCAGACUCACACCAAAACCUCUUGCCUGCAGGCAGGUAGGGACAGCAAUUGUUUACUCACGUGCACGAAUCACGAGGGGGUUUUCCCUUCACUUUAUAGUCCCAUAUGGUGCUGCUUCUCCUGUUGGGCACUCUCAGCCUCUUCUCAUGCACCCAAACUGCCUCCAGGAGCGCAUCCUCCAUCCUCUGACCCACCCCAGCCACCUUUGGGCAUGAGAUCCUGCUCACUCCCACUCCUGUUCCCUUCUCUGGAGCCACACUCAUCCUGCCUAUCACACCGUCCUGCACUUCCACCUAAUUUUGUAUCCCGACUUUUAAUUAUGGCAGGUGGGCCAGAAUUUCUACACGAGAGACAGAAGAAGUGACCCAAGAGAUCUCCAAGAGACACAAAAAGUGUGUCUUGCUCUGACAGUCAGCUGAAGGAUUUGUUCUCCCAGUGCCUGCAUUUCCCAGAACACACCCCAGCCUCUCCAGGCAGUGAUUUUCCCACAUCCCAAACCCCUCACUGUCCAUUUCCAGCCCGCCCAGAAAUGAGAUCCUUGUGGCACUCGUACCCCAGGUACCAAGACAGACAAAACCAGCCAGCAUUGACAGGUUUGGUUUCGUUCCAAGGGGUAAUUUCUGUUCUUUUUCUAACAUCUACAUCUCCAAGGAUUUAAUCUAUACUCCUGUGGGUCUCAGAUUCAGUCAAAUAGAGAAAUGGAGAGUUUCUAGCCAGGCAGAAGCCUGGGAAAGAGUUGGGAAAGAAUGUAAAUAAAAGAGCGGUGUAUUUUGAAUAAACCAGAGUUUUACUCUCAGGAGUCUUCUGAGUCAGUCUUCUCAUUCCCGUCCUGCCUCAACAGCGACAUACUCCUGAAGCAACUGAUGACCACACAAAACGUUCAUUUUACAGGAGGUCCCGCUCUGCCCUUGGAAUUCCUUGGAAAAAAUCCACCCUCACCCAAACCUGGUCUUCCUCCUCCAGUCAGUUUUUCUUUAGUUCAAAAAAAAAAAAGGUUAUUUUAUGGAGCCCUGGACAACUGCAGGUGAAAGUACUGCAGAGAGGGCAGCUAUAAAAAAAAAUGAUGUUAAUAUUUGAAGGACCAUAAACACAAAAAAAAAAAAAAAAAAAAAAAAAAGAAAAAGAGAAAAAACACCCCAGUUGUUCCAGUUUUCCAUCAAACUGUGAGCAGCAUCCUGCACCUGUGGGUACAGACCAACCUUCAUUAUGACAACUCUGUGAAAGUGCAUUCGGGGCAUUUUGUAAUAGCUGUGUCACAGUUACAUUAUCAACAAGUACAAGCAGAAAUGGAUUUUUACAGCCUGGAGAUUAAAUUACAUGCCCUCCCCUUGCCACCUCUCUCAUGAAAAUCCCUGUUACAAACAGCAGGUGCCUUAGAACACAAAUCAAGGUGGUGUUUGGUCUGGUCUGUUGACAAAUACUACCCAAAUAUCAACCCCAAACCUCAGCGGGCAGCAGAGGGAGGUCACCUCCCUGUCAAGGAAAAGCAGGCAGUGAAUUGCAGCCAGCUUUGAACACAGCUGCUCUCAGGAAAUAUUCCGGGGAUCAGCCCUCCUGACCCUUUGUUAUCUCACCUGCCCACAUCUUAGCUGGGACUCUGCACUCCCACAUUUACAUGCAGCAUUCCAAGUCACUCCUCCCAAACCAGCUCCUUAUCAGCCCUGCCCUGGCUCACAGGUGGCUCUGCUGUCCUUUAUGUCCCUCCCCGCUCUGGGGGUGCCACCACAGCCGGGCUCCACCUGAGGAGAGGCUCAGGAUAAAGCAGAGGGGUGACGGUGACAAGGCCCAAGUGCUGGGAGGUCACGGCCAGCACCUGCUGAUGGCACAGAGAGGGAUCCUUCCCUUCAGCUCACCCAGGAACUUUCCAUCCCCAGCCCAGAGAGGGAGCAAGGACAGUCACGAGCCAUCUGUGACCCGGCAAGUGACAGCCUCGGUGACACCACUGGAGAAUGUGGCAAAAUGAUUUCCUGCUGAAUGAAACCCAGAGAGAGCUCGGGAACACCUUCACCCAGGGGUCACCCAAAAAACUCAUGUGGGGGGAUGAAUCCCAGAAUCCCGGAGUGGGGCAGGGCUAAGGGAGCACAGAGGCUCAGCUGGUGCCACCCCAGGGCCAUCCCGAGCACAGGGCACAGCAGGGUGUGCACAGGGCUCUGGAAUAUCCCCAGCCAGGGAGGACCCACAGCCUCUCUGGGCUCUGCUCCAGUGCCCACAGGGAAGUUCUGCCUCCUGGGCAGGGAAUUGCCGGGCUCAGCCCUGCCCGGGGCUCUGGGGCCAUUGCUGGGCCUGUAGCAGGGCCUGGGGCUGCUCUGCCCUCCUGCACACAGGGACGGACAGGGAUGGACAGGGACACUCAGGGACACCCAGGGACACUCAGGGUCACAACAGGGUCACCCAGGCCUGAGGGCCCCUCUCAGCAUCUCCUCAGCCCCAGCUCCCUCAGCCUUUCCUGCUCCAGGCCCUUCCUCAGCUCCACAGCUCCCCAGGAGCUCCCUGGCCCUGCUGUCCCAAGGAGCUGGACAAGCACUCCAGCUCUGCCUCCCAGGGCUGACAAGGUUUAUUUUUAAUUCUCAGUGAAGACAACAACCUAGAUCCCAGCUGAUCCCACCCACCCCACAUGGAGCCACUCCUGCCUUCUCUCCUUCCUCAGAGGACAAAAACCCCAGAAAUGCUCUUGGCUCCCUUCUCCCAGAGGCCCUGGGGUGGUCAAUAGCAAUAAAAAUAUGCCUGCAGAGCUUUCACCCUCAAAGCUUGAUUUUCCAGGCACUCUCCUGCAGUUCCUCUGUAAUGGCAUUUUUUAAUGGCCUGGCCAAAGGAACCUAAUCUUGCAAUUACUCCAUUUAAAGCCAUGUAAUGGGUGAGCAGCUUCCUGGGAUAUGGGAAAGGAGAAGUGUGGUACAAUUGUAUUAAAGUGGGAAAAUGGAGUAACUACUCACACUAAAAAGGAUGAGGAAUGAAAAGCAGCAUGGUGUGAAUUAUAGAGAAAGGAAUGGGUUUAUGACAUGCAGCUGAAGGUCUGGCAGCUUUUGAGAGUCACCAUUCCCCUCCUGUCUCUUUCACUUGCCAUCAGGACAAAAAAAGAGGAAAAGGAGGGAUUUGGGAGCAUCAAAUCCACAGGGCUUGCAAAGGGGAUCAAUUGGGUUUGAGGACGGAGUGAGCAGGGCAAGGGCAAGGCACCUCCAGGGAGAUUCUCCUGCUGCAUGGCAGCAUUCCCAGGAGAAGCUGGCAGCACAAGGCCCUAAAGAUGGGGAACAGCUGAGCAACCCCAAUUCCCAGGACUGAGAUCUCCCUGAUCCCUGACUUCACAGCAUGAAAAAGGAGACUGGGGAUAUUUUAAAAAAAUUCAUUAUUAAGGAUAUUGCUUGAAAAACAACCAGGGUGAUCCUCAGCAGUGCAGGAGGGAUGGCAGGAGGGAUGAAUUCCUGAGGGGAAGGGCUCCUCACUCCAGCUUGCAAAAGCCAAAAGUCAAAUCUCCCAGGCUCUGGAAUUCAGGAACAAUGGGGAAAUGGGGAUGCCUGGCCCGUCCUGCUCAGUUUGGGACCCUCGUGUCCCCAUGGCCCAGUGCCGUCACUGCCACCCACCCCAACAUUCCAUCCAAGGGAGCUCUCCCACGUCAACCUGGGCGCCCAGCACCACGAUGCUCUUCCAUAUCCCAUCCAAAGGCCUCACUGCGCACUCCGCAGGUCCAUGAGGGCACGCUCCAGGCUCCCGGACAGGAGGGGGGAGCGCUUUGGGAAGAGCGUCCGCUUCAGGUCCUCCUGGCGCGUGCUUCUGCCCUUCUUCCUCUUCAUGGCGAGGCACCGCCGGCGGCUCCGGAGGGCUCACCCAGCCUUGCCGUGGUGCACAUGGCCCAGAGCGCCCCAGCUGCGCUCUCAGCACCAAGGUGAGUGCAGGGCUUCCCAGCGCCCAGCCCAGGCGGGUGGGGACCUUUAGGGUGGAAGGGCUGCAAAGGAGGGAGAGAGGUUUUCAGGGCAGUAGGGCGGGUCGGCAGCACCUCGGAGAUCACUCUUCACUGUGCUGCUGGGUGGACUUGGCACUGAAGUAGCUGAUGAGAGCCACAUUUUCCAGCCUGCCUGCAGCUCUGAGGGGCACAGAGGUGUAAUGGCAUCUCCCACCAAUGCACUCCCCAUUCUGAUGUCCCCUGCCAGCCUGGUGGCACCUCCUGGAUGCUCUGGGGACAGCUGCAGUGCAGGGUCCUGCAAGCAUCAGCCCAGUACGCCCCCUCACCACCAGCCACCCCAGCACAAGGGUGAAAUGCCAACACAGACAUCCCCCCUAACAGAUCCUGGGGAACAGUGUCUCAUCAAGACUUGUCUUAGAAAGACAGAGACUGAAAAUCUCAACAUCUCAUCACAGGUGGGAGACAGCAGCUGCCAUUUAUCACUCUUGAGGAGCUGAUUGGCAUCCUCAGUCAUAACUGAAUUCUGCGAGUGCACAAGAGAAAAACACCUUCAAUUCUUCCCUUCAUGUCCCCAAAAUGCAUGCCCUAGGUUUUGAGGCCUGCUUACUCCGAUCAAGCCCUUCUGGAUCUCACCAACAUGAAGGAACUCUCCUUAUGCCUGUCCAGCUGUUCUGUGCAGUACUUCCUGGAGUGACUUCCCAGUGAUGCUAACAGCUUUACCUGGAACCCCCAAGCAGUUAAGGUGGAAGACUGCAGCAGCAAGUUCCUUGCCUCCAACCAGCUACAAUGGAAUGGUUUUCCCAUAGGAAUUACCCUCAGAGGAAUAACCCCAGUCCCUCCAGCCAAAUUGCCUCUUUUCCAGGGAAGCCAGAGGCUUGCAUGCCUUUAAAAAAAGGAAAAAUAUCCCCAAAUCAAGAUAGUAUUUAAAGUGGGAUUAUUGCUCGUUGGCCAAAGAGCUGGAAGUUUAGCUGGAACUUAUUAGGCAAGCUUUGCAGAAAGGAGGCUGUAAAGAAGGAGGUGGUGUUGCCCUCAGUGCUGCAUCCCACUGCCUGCAUCAGCGGUGGCCAAGGGGCCAUGAAACUGGCAGGCAGAGGCAGGUGAAAGAAAAGGCAGCCAGGAAGCAGAGCCCUGACAUGCAGGGUCUUCAGCCUCUUUCUUAGGUUUUCCCUGAGAACACCACCUGGGAGAGGCCAGCAGGAGAGGCUGGGAGCCAGCCUGUGCCCUUGCUGAGCAGAUUAGCAGCACUGCUGAUCAUCCCUCCUUGCCACCCCCAGGAAAGAAGUGUGAUCCCUGCCUGGCGAAGAAAUGGAUCCAGCGAGAGGCUCUGAGGCGAAACUCGCUCAAAUAUUGAACUAGAAAAAUUUUGCUCAGUCUGCCUCUCAGUAAACAGUGACUAAUUGCUCUGGCUGGAGUUGCUGUACCUUCUAGAUUGGAAGGUGCAGAUGGAACAAUGAUAGUGAAGGCUCCUUACCUGACACCGGCUGUACAUUAAUCACGAAUGUUUGCUACACAAAUCUUGUCAUACAAAGCAAUUAUUGCUGUUCCCAUAUUGACCUCAUGUUUAUUUAUUACAUGAGCUCUUUAUUUGAACCUUGUCUGGUCUCUCUUCCCAUAUAAGCAUAUUAGUAUGUGGCUUCCAAAGGCUCCCAGCUGAGAAAUUGUAGAUUUAUUUGUGGCGUGGAAGGAUGGCACACGACACGCUGACUGCAAUGCAGAGCUGAGAGGCUCAGCUCUUACACCAGUGGUUCUUCAUGCAAAAUGUUCUCACCCCAAGGUCUCUUGCUGGGAUGAAGGACACUUUCUAACAGCACAGGGCUGCGACUCUGGGUUUGCUCUGACGCUGCAGUAUUAACCAAUGGUUAAUGGAGACUGUCAGCCCGAGGAGCCAGAAAAUAAAGCUCUGCUUGGGCUUCUUUAGGGUCCUCUCAGUAAAAGUAAAAUUUUACACAGUGCUUCGUCCUUGGCUUUGUCACCUUUGCCUACCUCCAGAAUGAUGAGUCUCAAAUAAAUUUAACUGUGCCACCAAGUAAGUUGCAAGUGCGCUUUUGAAUGUGGUAGUGUUUGGGUAGCUGGAGAGCUGGGUGUCUUUAAGCACCAAAUAUUCUCUUGCCAGAGGAGUUUUCUCCAUGUGAUUUAAUGUUGGGCAACACUGGCAUCCGGUGGGCAGAGGGUUUCCUCCUUAACAGCUUGGGGCAGCUCACUCCCUUGAUUUUGUCCUAGGGCUUCUCAAGAUGAUCAUUAAAUGUAAUUUCUACAUUAAUCUGGGCUUUGUUUUCCCCCUUCCUUCAGUUAGGCUGCAAAGCAGGCAGAACAAUAUAUUGUCUGUUUAGUGUUUUCUUUUAAACACGCCCUGCUAUACAGUCUGGGAUCUUCUGAAGUCAGCUGCCCCUCCACGCUGAUCAGUUUUGUUGCGCAGGGACUCUGCCUGCCUCACACCUCAGGCAAGUCUCUGUUCCUCUCUUGAGUGGGACAGGAAGGGUCUCCAUGGUUCCUGCUUCAAACCAAACCCUCCUGUCUGACCUUUUUGGGCCCCUUCCUUGUCCACAGACAUUAUUGGUGCUCUUUUACUAGGGGAAACUGUAGAAAAGCCCCCAGAGCCUGAAUGAAAUCAAAUCCCUCUUACACCCCUCAGCCCUCCCUGCCUCUCUCGCUGUUCUUUCUUCUGCUCUCACCUCUGCUUUCAGCUCUUCCCAAUGUACCAUCAUUUUCUGAUGCAAUUAAUUCUUAUUGCUUCCAAAUCAUUAAUAAAGCACCUAAUUGUUGCAGCAUUUCUGAGACAGAGAGGGCAUGAUUUAUGUUUGGAAUGAUAUUUGAGCUACUCCAGCCUAGGCCUCAGAUCUGGGCCUUGUGAGGCUUUCCAGCCUCUGGCGCAGUUUGAAAUUAAGAGCUUGUGGUGCAGUUAGAAAUUGUAUUAAGGUGUGAUGGGAAGCACUGGGCUGUCUGGGUGUGAAGCAGUAUAGGUUUAUAGUGUGAGGUUUAGGUCACCUUAAGAAAAAGACACACAAUGUUCGCUUGCCAAUGAAUGUGCCUUUGUAAACUGUAAACUGUAUAGAAGUGUAUAUAAGCUGCCAUCUCCUCUCGAAUAAACAGAGAACGUUGCAUUAA